rnacentral:rRNA from 1 species
AUUGAACGCUGGCGGCAGGCUUAACACAUGCAAGUCGAGCGGAGACUUCGGUCUUAGCGGCGAACGGGUGAGUAAUACCUAGGAAUCUGCCUAUUAGUGGGGGAUAACGAAUCGAAAGGUUCGCUAAUACCGCAUACGUCCUACGGGAGAAAGGGGGGGAUCUUUGGACCUCUCGCUAAUAGAUGAGCCUAGGCCGGAUUAGCUAGUUGGUAGGGUAAAGGCCUACCAAGGCGACGAUCUGUAGCUGGUCUGAGAGGAUGGCCAGCCACACUGGAACUGAGACACGGUCCAGACUCCUACGGGAGGCAGCAGUGGGGAAUAUUGGACAAUGGGGGCAACCCUGAUCCAGCCAUGCCGCGUGUGUGAAGAAGGCCUC